UUAAUCUAGUCUCCUUUAUAUGUUUAUCAGUUGCAAUUGUUCUAUAAAGAAUAACAUUCCCUUGUCAACUAUUUAGUUACUCUGAGGUGUAGUUCAUACAGUAAAAGCAUGGUAAGUGUUUUUGUGCACCAGUAUUUGCCUUUGUGCACCAGUAUACAGGAUAAUGAAAUGAUUCCCUGGCAUCCUCCAAAGUUGACCAAAGCAUUUUGUUGUUUUUAUUGUUUUGAAUGUCAUUGUAGAUUCACAAACAACAUAUCUGAUGUCUUUCAGUUCAUUGUAGUUACUAUUCUUUUUGAUGUUCAAAUUUUCCCAUAUGUUAAUGGUUGUUUCCUACAGUAGUGUUCUAUAGGUUUGUCUGUUUGGUUUUGUUUGUUUGUUUUCAUUUCAAAUACAAGAUGUUACAGGCUCUUCUUUUACAUUUUCUGCUUCAAAUAUGAAAGCAGACAUUUCCUCAAGUAUCCUUAUUCCUUUUAGAGACAAAUAGUAUUUAGAGACCACGAUCUUGAUGCUAGGGGUACUUAUUCCCAGUGACUUAGUUUUUGUUUUUUUUUUUUUAAGUAUACAGAGCUAGAAAAUAAUCAUUUUUAUUUUGGGGGAAAAUAUACCUUAGGUUCACACUGGUGCUAUAAAUUCAAAUUUAGGACUACAGAGUUAUACUUCUUGGGAGCUUAUGUUUGUAUCUCUUUUGUCCUGGAGUGAGAAUCUUGGUUGAUUUGUUUUUUAAUUAAUUAAAAGAGUGAGAGAGAGAGUGUGUGGGCACAUGCACACAUGCACAUGAGUGGGGGAGGGGCACAGAGAGAGGGGGAAAGAGAAUCCCAAGCAUGUUCCACACUGUCAGUGCAGAGCCCAACACAGGACUGGAUCCUGAGAACCACGAGAUCAUGACGAGAGCUGAAAUUAUGAGUUGGACACUUAACCAACUAAGCCACCCAGGCAGCCCAGAAUCUUGGUUUUUAAUGUCAUCGAUAAAAGAAGCUGCUAUUCUCCCACCACCCAUGAUUUCAUGAGCCUGUCAGUCAAGGAACUUGGCCUUCCCUUCUGCAAGAGUGGGAACGAAUCCCAGGCUAUGAGGGAGUUAACCCCCGUGGGUGAACUUGGGCCAAUGCAAGGCCGGCCCGCUCCGCCGUUCCCGCCGGACUCGAGGAGACUUGGCAGGUGAGGACCUGGACCGGACGUCCGAACCAGUAAGGCUGGGGCCCAAUCUAGCCAGGCCCGCUCGCAAGAGUGGAAGGGGGACCUGAUCACUCCCGGAGACAUCAGAAGUCUCACAGGUAGGGAUUCUGUAGUAGGGAAUAUAAUAACCUCUGGUGUGUAUGUGAAUGUGAAUGUGCGACUGGGUCUAGCUUGCCUGCCGAGUUCUAUUCUGUGGCUCCACAGGCAGGCACGAUUGGGGUGCCCAGGGGGCUACGGAGUGUGAGUGGGCCCGUCUGCAAUUCCAUGAUGGAUGGCACUCGGUCUGUGUCGAUAUCAGAACGUUUCUGAUCAUGGGUCGCAGGGCUGUGACCUGUGGGGCUGAGCGUCGCCUGGGUUCCUGCAGGACACUGCCAGGUGGGCAUCUGGCUAGUCUCCUCAUUGGAGGGGGCGCCCCUGUCCCUCUGUCUUUGUGACUCCGCCUCACGGGAGCAUUGUGGGGUCGGGACGGAGCCAGGAGAGCCAGGCAAAGGUUUUAACCGCUUUAUCCGGAGACUCACCCAGGGAGCCAAAGAAGCCACCCACCGCUCCCCUAAUGUUCCCCUCUUGAUGACUCUUUAGGCUCCCUCCCCUCUCCCCUGAGCUUGAAACUCCUCCCCUGGCGGACUGGUCUGGCUGCUGCCACCGCCUCCAGGACGCUGCCUCCGCCGCCCAUUUCUCCUCCCCUUCCAGGCCAGAAAACCCUCCCCCACAAGGCCCCGUGGGCAGAUUGCGCCCUCACCACAGCCAGGGACUGGCCUCUCCAAAUGCUGGUCCACAUCCACUGAUAUCAGAGCUGGGGGCUGAGAAGGCCAUAAAUAUGCCCAGUUGCAAGGGGGAAAGGACAUUAAAAAGAACAAAUGUUCCAACCAGGGAAAGUCCCAAAAACCCAGCGGAGAUCAGGAGGAACCUGGAGAAGGGGACCCUAUUGGUCUAGCUGAGAUAGACCCAGACUAAAAGGGGACACUCUCUCUCUCCCUGUUUCUCUGCUUAAUAGAUGUGAGGGAUUCUCCCUCAUUUCCCAGGUUAACAGCUAUUAAUGGAGCCAACUGUGGUUAGUCUACCUCCGGACAGGGACUUUAAGGAAUAUUCCCAAGCAGUUGCUGCUUCUGCCUUCCCCUCCCCCUCACGUUUCUGCACCAAUUUGGGUGUGGUCCUAUACCAUCCUCAGUGUCUCAGGCACCAUUGGUUCCUCCUCCCACCCUCCAAGUCAAGGAGAAAAGUGCACCUCCCCCCCCACCUUGGACCGCCCAUUUCAGAUAUCUCCACUGGUGCCCCAAAUGAAAAUUGACAAUGGGGAAAAAUUGAUUGGCUUUUAGGUGGAUGCAGAUGAAACAUAUUCGAUGUUUAAACUAAUUUAAGUUGGGGCACCUGGGUGGCUCAGUCAGUUGAGCCUCCAACUUCAGCUCAGGUCAUGAUCUUGCGGCCUGUGGGUUCGAGCCCUGCAUCGGGCUCUGUGCUGACAGCUCAGAGCCUGGAGCCUGCUUAGGAUUCUGUGUCUCCCUCUCUCUGCCCCUCCCCUACUCAUGCUCUGUCUCUCCCUCUGUCAAAAAUAAAUAA